rnacentral:lncRNA from 1 species
GUUUAAUGCUUUUCUACUUGCAAUAUUCCCUCAGUUCCCUAUAAAAUAUGAGGGUGUUUUACUGAAAAAGGAGGUAAAACUCAAUGCAUGCUGUCUUUAUACUGUUCGUAGUGCUAAUGAACUUUAAUGGGGAGAAGCUUCACUGCUUGACUCCAGUAAAGUUUGGGAAUUAUCUGUAUAUAUCCAUCAACUGCUACUUCAUUUUCCUAAACUCCUGAGGGCACUGGGGUGUCCUGAAGUCCUUGAGUCCUACCUGGCUUCAUGUGACACAGCUUUGCAGGGAUGCCAGGUAGAGGAGUAUGCCAGAGGAAGAGGACCUUUCUCAUGCCCCUAAUGCCUUCCUGCCUUUCCCUCUUUUACAGAAGAACAAUGUGGUGAGACAGCAUGGACCAUGCAUGCCCGCAACUAUCACCGGCCGGCAUGCUCUGAUCAGAAACCCAGACUGCCCUUCCUGGACAUGUUUGUUUCCCACAUAGACUAAGCAGGACUGAGGGCAGGACUGUCAAGUAUUCAGCUCUGCAGGGAAGCAUUUAGCCUAAAGGCUGGCUGAGAGUAAGUAUGCUUAAAAUAUCUGCGGAGUGAACAGUCAAAGGUCAAUCACUAUAAAAACCACGGCAGAGGAUGGGGACACUAAAAGGCAAAGAGGAAC